AGAGUUUGAUCAUGGCUCAGAACGUACGCUGGCGGCACGCCUAACACAUGCAAGUCGAACGAAGUAGCAAUACUUAGUGGCAGACGGGUGAGUAACAUGUAGGUAUCUGCCCUUUGGCCUGGAAUAACACGAGGAAACUUGUGCUAAUACCGGAUAAGUCUUUACGGAGAAAGCUUUAUGCACCAUUGGAUGAGCCUGCACUUGAUUAGUUUGUUGGUGGGGUAAUGGCCUACCAAGACUGUGAUCAAUAGCUGAUUUGAGAGGAUGAUCAGCCACAUUGGGACUGAGACACGGCCCAAACUCCUACGGGAGGCAGCAGUGGGGAAUCUUGCACAAUGGAGGAAACUCUGAUGCAGCGAUGCCGCGUGAGUGAAGAAGGCCCUUGGGUUGUAAAGCUCUUUCGUCGGGGAAGAAAAUGACUGUACCCGAAUAAGAAGGUCCGGCUAACUUCGUGCCAGCAGCCGCGGUAAUACGAAGGGACCUAGCGUAGUUCGGAAUUACUGGGCUUAAAGAGUUCGUAGGUGGUUGAAAAAGUUAGUGGUGAAAUCCCAGAGCUUAACUCUGGAACUGCCAUUAAAACUUUUCAGCUAGAGUAUGAUAGAGGAAAGCAGAAUUUCUAGUGUAGAGGUGAAAUUCGUAGAUAUUAGAAAGAAUACCAAUUGCGAAGGCAGCUUUCUGGAUCAUUACUGACACUGAGGAACGAAAGCAUGGGUAGCGAAGAGGAUUAGAUACCCUCGUAGUCCAUGCCGUAAACGAUGUGUGUUAGACGUUGGAAAUUUAUUUUCAGUGUCGCAGGGAAACCGAUAAACACACCGCCUGGGGAGUACGACCGCAAGGUUAAAACUCAAAUGAAUUGACGGGGACCCGCACAAGUAGUGGAGCAUGUGGUUUAAUUCGAAGAUACGCGCAGAACCUUACCAACACUUGACAUGUUCGUCGCGACUCUAAGAGAUUAGAGUUUUCGGUUCGGCCGGACGAAACACAGGUGCUGCAUGGCUGUCGUCAGCUCGUGUCGUGAGAUGUUGGGUUAAGUCCCGCAACGAGCGCAACCCUCACUUUUAGUUGCCAUCAUUAAGUUGGGCACUCUGAAAGAACUGCCAGUGAUAAGCUGGAGGAAGGUGGGGAUGACGUCAAGUCCUCAUGGCCCUUACGUGUUGGGCUACACACGUGCUACAAUGGUAUCUACAACAGGAAGCAAGACUGCGAAGUUAAGCAAAUCCCUAAAAGAUACCUCAGUUCGGAUUGCACUCUGCAACUCGAGUGCAUGAAGCUGGAAUUACUAGUAAUCGUGGAUCAGCGUGCCACGGUGAAUGCGUUCCCGG
rnacentral:rRNA from 1 species